UUAAUGAACGACAAGAAGAAGUAGAUCAAUUAUUGUAUAAGACACUCACAGAGAUGCAUGCAACGGUGCAGCCUGGGGGGCGUUCUCCAAAGCCAAUGAAUGGUCCAAUGUCAACAUCACAGUUAAAAUCUGGUUCAGAUAGUGUACACAACAGUGCCUCUUCCUUUCCUUCUCAAGUUAAGGGAAAGAAAAGGGAGCGAGGCGAUCAGGGCGUGGAGCCUGUUAAACGGGAACGAUCUUCAAAAAUGGAUGACGGUGAUCCUGGUCUCUCUAGACCAGAAAGCAUUUGGAAAUCUGAGAUUUCUAAAUUUACAGAAAAAGGGGGGCUUGUAGAUUCUGAAGGUGUUGUGAAAUUGGUGCAGCUUAUGUUGCCGGAGAAAAAUGAGAAAAGGAUAGAUUUGGUUGGCCGAUCUAUACUGGCUGGGGUGAUAGCAGCCACAGAAAAGUUUGAUUGCCUCAAUCUAUUCGUGCAGCUUAGGGGCUUGCCUGUAUUGGAUGAAUGGUUGCAGGAGGUGCAUAAAGGGAAGAUUGGUGAUGGUAGUAGUCCUAAGGAUAGUGAUAAAUCUAUCGAGGUAUUUCUCUUAGUUUUACUUCGGGC
rnacentral:misc_RNA from 1 species